rnacentral:rRNA from 1 species
CCUACGGGAGGCUGCAGUGGGGAAUAUUGGACAAUGGGGGCAACCCUGAUCCAGCCAUGCCGCGUGUGUGAAGAAGGCCCUCGGGUUGUAAAGCACUUUCAGUGAGGAAGAACGCCUGGUGGUUAAUACCCAUCAGGAAAGACAUCACUCACAGAAGAAGCACCGGCUAACUCCGUGCCAGCAGCCGCGGUAAUACGGAGGGUGCGAGCGUUAAUCGGAAUUACUGGGCGUAAAGCGCGCGUAGGUGGCUUGAUAAGCCGGUUGUGAAAGCCCCGGGCUCAACCUGGGAACGGCAUCCGGAACUGUCAAGCUAGAGUGCAGGAGAGGAAGGUAGAAUUCCCGGUGUAGCGGUGAAAUGCGUAGAGAUCGGGAGGAAUACCAGUGGCGAAGGCGGCCUUCUGGACUGACACUGACACUGAGGUGCGAAAGCGUGGGUAGCAAACAGGAUUAGAUGCCCCGGUAGUC